CGAUUUAUACCAUGAUUAAACAUAACCAAAUUCAAACUUAGUAUUUAAGCCAUAUUCACAUGGCUGGAAGUAUACAUAUCAAAGUUCAAACAAAAUUAAUACAUAUUAGCCUAUACAUGUCAAAAUGUUCAUUUAGAUCAACUAAGAAGAGGGUACCAAAAUGUUGCAAGCUGGUGUGAUGACUUCGACGAUGAUUCCAAGCAUGCAAAAUGGGUCAAGGAAAUCUAAAUAGGAGACAAGCAAACACACCAAAUGAGUAUUCAACUCAGUAAGUCAUAAGCAAUAUAAAACAGACCAUUAACAUGAGAUUAUAAGAGAAAUAAUGUAAGAUCAACUAUUUCAGCCAUACUGAUCUAUGCUACAAUUAACUAGAUUAUCGAUCCAACCAUAAGCCAAAUAUUGCUAUCCGAUCGACUAUCAAACAACCAAAUGGUUUAAAUCUUUUUUUUUCAAAGUAUGAAACAAUGAUGAACUAGAUGUAUCCAUGCAUAUACGUUUCAUGUCUCAACUUCGAUAUUUCAAGUAAUAGCUCUAGCACUUUAUUCUUUCCCUAUACUUCUUAUAUCAUCAACCGAUUUCGCACACAUAGUGCUAAACAAAUUCGCACACAUAGUGCCAUGCUACACCGCACACAUAGUGCCUUGAAUAUUCACUCAUGUAUUGACAUCCAAAUCAGCACACAUAGUGCCAUUCAAUUCCGCACACAUAGUGCCAUUCAAAUCCGCACACUUAGUGCCAAUGUUGACCCAUUAUAAUAAGACAAUUUACUUAAUUCAAUUGGCAUAUAUGGCCACAAUUAUAAAUAUGUAUAUCACUCCAAAAGAAUACCUAACAAAAUAUGGACUUACCUUGUGUUGGAUAAAACGGUUCCAAAUCGGCUACUCGAU
rnacentral:lncRNA from 1 species